rnacentral:rRNA from 1 species
AUGGUUUUUAUCUGCUAUAGGAUAGGAUCGUGUUCGAUUAUGGUUGUUGGUGAGAUAAUGGCUCACCAAGCCGAUAAUCGAUAGGGGCCGUGAGAGCGGGAGCCCCGAGAUGGGUACUGAGACAACGACCCAGGCCUUACGAGGCGCAGCAGGCGCGGAACCUCCGCAAUACACGAAAGUGUGACGGGGUUACCCAAAGUGUUCAAUAGAACUGUGGUAGGUGAGUAAUGUCCCCUACUAGAAAGGAGAGGGCAAGGCUGGUGCCAGCCGCCGCGGUAAAACCAGCUCUUCAAGUGGUCGGGAUAAUUAUUGGGCUUAAAGUGUCCGUAGCCGGUUUAGCAAGUUCCUGGUAAAAUCGGGUAGCUUAACUAUCUGCAUGCUAGGAAUACUGCUAUACUAGAGGGCGGGAGAGGUCUGAGGUACUACAGGGGUAGGGGUGAAAUCUUAUAAUCCUUGUAGGACCACCAGUGGCGAAGGCGUCAGACUGGAACGCGCCUGACGGUGAGGGACGAAAGCCAGGGGAGCGAACCGGAUUAGAUACCCGGGUAGUCCUGGCCGUGAACGAUGCAUACUAGGUGAUGGUACGGCCAUGAGCCGUAUCAGUGCCGUAGGGAAACCGUUAAGUGUGCCGCCUGGGAAGUACGGUCGCAAGGCUAAAACUUAAAGGAAUUGGCGGGGGAGCACCACAAGGGGUGAAGCCUGCGGUUCAAUUGGACCCAACGCCGGGAAACUUACCAGGGGAGACAGCAGUAUGACGGUCAGGUUGACGACCUUACCCGGCGAGCUGAGAGGAGGUGCAUGGCCGUCGCCAGUUCGUGCCGUGAGGUAUCCUGUUAAGUCAGGCAACGAACGAGAUCCGCACUUUUAUUUGCCAACAAGAAGUCACGACUUCGUUGGGAACACUAAAGGGACCGCCGUCGAUAAGACGGAGGAAGGAGCGGGCAAAGGCAGGUCAGUAUGCCCCGAAACCCCUGGGCUACACGCGGGCUGCAAUGGUAUGAACAAUGGGCUGUGACUCCGAAAGGAGAAACCAAUCCCGAAAUCAUAUCUCAGUUGGAAUUGUCGGCUGUAACCCGCCGACAUGAACGUGGAAUCCCUAGUAAUCGUGUGUCAUCAUCGCACGGUGAAUACGUCUCUGCUCCUUGCUCACACCGCCCGUCGCUCCAUCCGAGUGUGCUAAAAAUGAGGUCUGGUCAGUCUGGUCAUAUCGAGUUUCUAGUAUGCGA